GGUUUACAGAAGAUGUUGUUGGAAAAGAGAUUUAUACCAAGAGUAAUUUUCAUUCCCCACAGCAAGAACUAUUUGUCAGGACUCUCUUCCCCUCCUCCUGGAUCACAGGACACGGGAGCUCCGGGCCCGACAAGAAUGCUACCGCUGGAAGAUCUAUGCCCCUGGCUUCCCCUGCAUGGUAGACGUCAACAGCUUUCAGGAGAUGGAGUCAGACAAGAAAUUUGCCUUGACAAAGACGACAACUUGUGUAGACCAGGGUGACAGCAGUGGGAAUCGGUACCUGCCCGGCUUCCCCAUGAAAAU
rnacentral:lncRNA from 1 species